rnacentral:lncRNA from 1 species
AUAAUGACAAGUUUUUUUUUUAAGGAAACAAUGUCAAGUUUCAACUAACUCUUGUGCAAAUAAGGCAUCAUUUCUUUUUCUUGUUUUAGCUUGCACAAGGAUCAAACUGAAUCAGAUGCCAUGACCCAAUUUUUGCUUAAUCUAGCACGCCCAACAGAAUAAUAAUCACCAUUCCUCAAAUUUAUGCCCCAGAAUCUCUUUCCAUAUUUGGACGAAGCUCUGCGCGGACGGCCAACGCACCUGCACUAUAGAAGAAGAGAACAAGUCAAACAACAACUACUAACAACUACAAUCUAACCGACCAAAGAAACUUCAAGAAACUAGUCUGAAAUACUAGUUUCUAUUUUGGUUCAUUGCUUUAGUUGUGCCCCGAACCAUUCUGUUUUCCUCAUCAUCUCCCUCUCGUUGUGUAGAAGAAUGAAGGCUUUGGAAAAACUAUGCUCACAUUUUUACAAGGUGGCAGCCAUUAUCUUCUCCAUAAUACUUCCUCAAUCCAUAAGAUUAACAAUCUUGAUUAUACGUGCUUCCUGGAGCUGGUGCAGACGUACAAGCUCCAAGUACAAGUACAUGGCGGCAAUCAACAAGAAAAGCUCCAAGUUUGUUUACACAAAGGAGUUGAGAAGAUUGAGGUCAGAGCCACUUAUUUGCUCCAUCUGCUU